AACCGAAAGGUUGGUGGUUCGAG
rnacentral:piRNA from 3 species